rnacentral:rRNA from 1 species
GAAUCGCGAUAAGUAAUGUGAAUUGCAGAUUUCCAGUGAAUCAUCGAAUCUUUGAACGCACUUUGCGCUCCUUGGUACUCCGAGGAGCAUGCCUGUUUGAGUGUCAUGUUACUCUCAACCAUGUCUCGAUUCGUUUCGAGGCAUGGCUUGGAUUUGGGAGCUUUGCCGGCCUCGCAGUCGACUCUCCUUAAAUGCAUUAGCGAAUAGGUCGUGUCAGUGGGUCUGGCGGGCAAUCAAUAGCCUUUCGACGUGAUAACAAUCGUAUAUCGGAGUCGAGGCUCGCGCGCCAGGUGUAAGACAUGUUCUCUGUUCGCUUCCAAUCCCCAAACCUGCUUAGCUAGUAGUCGGUCGAUCGAUAGAUCACCUUCGAACACAAAGGCAGGACCACCUUUUGACCACUUUGACCUCAAAUCAGGUAGGACUACCCGCUGAACUUAA